AGUUUGAUUAUGGCUCAGGAUUGAACGCUGGCGGGAUGCUUUACACAUGCAAGUCGAACGGCAGCACGGACUUCGGUUCAUGGGCGAGUGGCGAACGGGUGAGUAACGUAUCGGAACGUGCCUAGUAGCGGGGAUAACUAUCGCGAAAGCGUAGCUAAUACCGCAUACGUACCCUUCGGGGAAAGCGGGGACCUUCGGGCCUCGCACUGUCAGAUGGGCUUCGAUAUCGGAUUAGCUAGUUGGUGGGGUAACGGCUCACCAAGGCGACGAUCCGUAGCUGGUUUGAGAGGACGACCAGCCACAUCUGACCGAGACACGGCCCAGACUCCUACGGGAGGCAGCAGUGGAGAAUUUUGGACAAUGGGGGAAACCUGAUCCAGCCAUCCAUGUGCGAUGAAGGCCUUCGGGUUAAAGCACUUUUGGCAGGAGAAGAAAACGGCACGGAUAAUACCCCGUGCAACUGACGGUACCCGGCAGAAUGGGUACACCGGCUAACUACGUGCCAGCAGCCGGCGGUAAUGAUGUAGGUGCGUUAACUGAAUUACUGGGCGCAAGCGUGCAGGUUCGGAAAGAAAGAUGUAGAAUCCCAGAGCUUAACUUUGAACUGCGAUGAAUUACCGAGCUAGAGGUGGCCGUGAGGGAGGUGGAAUUCCGCGUGUAGCAGUGAAAUGCGUAGAUAUGCGGAGGAACACCGAUGGCGAAGGCAGCCUCUGAUAACACUGACGCUCAUGCACGAAAGCGUGGGGAGCAAACAGGAUUAGAUACCCUGUAGUCCACGCCCUAAACGAUGUCAAAUCAUUGUUGGGGCCUUCGGGCCUUGUGCGCAGCUAACGCGUGAAGUUGACCGCCUGGGGUAUUGACGUAAGAUUAAAACUUCAGCGACUGACCGCACAAGCGGUGGAUGAUGUGGAUUAACGAUGCAACGCAGCAAACCUGAUCAAAUUUUGACAUGUCUGGAAUCCCGAAGAGAUUUGGGAGUGCUCGCAAGAGAACCGGAACACAGGUGCUGCAUGGCUGUCGUCAGCUCGUGUGUCGUGAGAUGUUGGGUUAAGUCCCGCAACGAGCGCAACCCUUAAUGUUACACGAAAGGGCACCUAUCGAGAUCGCUGGUGACAAACCGGAGGAAGGUGGGGAUGACGUCAAGUCCCCAUGGCCCUUGCGGGUAGGGCUUCAUUACCGUCAUACAAUGGUCGGGACAGAGGGUCGCCAACCCGCGAGGGGGCCAAUCCCAGAAACCCGAUCGUAGUCCGACUGCAUCGUGAACUGACUGCGUGAAGUCGGAAUCGCUAGUAAUCGUGGGAUCAGCACAUGUCGUGGUGAAUACGUUCCCGGGUCUUUGUACACACCGCCUGUCACACUAUGGGAGGGUUUUACGAAGUAGUUAGCCUAACCGCAAGGAGUGGCGAUUACCACGGUAGGAUUCAUGACUGGGGUGAAGUCGUAACAAGGUAG
rnacentral:rRNA from 1 species